rnacentral:tRNA from 1 species
UGAGUUAAAGCUAAAAAGAGGCAUCUAACUGUUAAUUAGAAGAUUGUAAAAUAACUUUACUAGCUCAG